rnacentral:rRNA from 1 species
GAUACGGCCAUAUCUACUGAAAACCACCGGAAACCAUCAGAACUCCGAAGUUAAACCAGUAUGAGCUUAAUCAGUACUAAGAAGGGAGA